rnacentral:rRNA from 1 species
GCUUACGGCCAUACCAACCUGGCUAUGCCCGAUCUCGUCCGCUCUCGGAAGCUAAGCAGGUUUGGGCCUGGUUAGUACUUGGAUGGGAGACCGCCUGGGAAUACCAGGUGCUGUAAGCU